CUCACUGCGACCAGGAGCAGGUGCACUGACCACUGCGGAUGCAGCAAAGUGGGCACUGGCUGAAUCAAGUGUUUUUGACAUACAGUCAGAGAUGCUGGAGCCCUGUGCUUUUGGAUGUGUCUGUUGCGAGGAAUGCUGAGAUUGUUGUUUCUGUUGAAGCUGGGCAAGUUGUUGCCUCUGCAUUUGAACUAACUGCUGUUGAUGUGUCUGAAAUUGUUCUUCUGUGAUACCCC
rnacentral:lncRNA from 1 species